AGUGGGGAAUUUUGGACAAUGGGGGCAACCCUGAUCCAGCCAUGCCGCGUGUGUGAAGAAGGCCUUCGGGUUGUAAAGCACUUUCGGCCGGAACGAAAUCGCGCGGGCUAACACCCCGCGUGGAUGACGGUACCGGAAGAAGAAGCACCGGCUAACUACGUGCCAGCAGCCGCGGUAAUACGUAGGGUGCGAGCGUUAAUCGGAAUUACUGGGCGUAAAGUGUGCGCAGGUGGCCGCGCAAGUCGAGUGUGAAAGCCCCGGGCUUAACUUGGGAAUUGCGCUCGAAACUACGUGGCUAGAGUGUGGCAGAGGAAGGUGGAAUUCCACGUGUAGCGGUGAAAUGCGUAGAGAUGUGGAGGAACACCGAUGGCGAAGGCAGCCUUCUGGGCCAACACUGACGCUCAUGCACGAAAGCGUGGGGAGCAAA
rnacentral:rRNA from 1 species